UCCGUAGGUGGAUAAUUAAGUCAGAGGUGAAAGUUUGCAACUCAACUGUAAAAUUGCCUUUGAUACUGGUUAUCUUGAAUUAUUGUGAAGUGGUUAGAAUAUGUAGUGUAGCGGUGAAAUGCAUAGAUAUUACAUAGAAUACCAAUUGCGAAGGCAGAUCACUAACAAUAUAUUGACACUGAUAGACGAAAGCGUGGGGAGCGAACAGGAUUAGAUACCCUGGUAGUCC
rnacentral:rRNA from 1 species